rnacentral:tRNA from 1 species
GGGGUUGUGGCUCAGUGGUGGAGUGUUCGCCUAGCACGUGUGAGGCCCUGGGUUCAAUCCUCAGCACCACA